rnacentral:rRNA from 1 species
GACAGAGGGUGCAAACGUUUGUUCGGAAUUACUGGGCGUAAAGCGCGUGUAGGCGGCUCUGCAAGUCGGAUGUGAAAGCCCUCGGCUCAACCGAGGAAGUGCACCCGAAACUGCAGAGCUAGAGUCUCGGAGAGGAUCGUGGAAUUCUCGGUGUAGAGGUGAAAUUCGUAGAUAUCUGGAGGAACACCGGUGGCGAAGGCGGCAUCCUGGACCGACACUGACGCUGAGGCGCGAAAGCUAGGGGAGCAAACGGGG